rnacentral:rRNA from 1 species
AUUGAACGCUGGCGGCAGGCCUAACACAUGCAAGUCGAGCGAGCGGCGGACGGGUGAGUAAUGUAUGGGGACUGCCCGAUAGAGGGGGAUAACUACGGGAAACGGUGGCUAAUGCCGCAUACUAUCGGAUAACCCAUAUGGGAUUAGCUAGUAGGUGGGGUAAAGGCUCACCUAGGCGACGAUUUCUAGCUGGUCUGAGAGGAUGAUCAGCCAAACUGGGACUGAGACACGGCCCAGACUCCUACGGAGGCAGCAGUAGGGAAUCUUGCGCAAUGGGCGCAAGCCUGAUGGAGCCAUGCCGCGUGUAUGAAGAAGGCUUUCGGGUUGUAAAGUACUUUCGGCGGGGAGGCGUUACCCGCAGAAGAAGCACCGGCUAACGCCGUGCCAGCCGCCGCGGUAAUUC